CGCGUAGGCGGUUUGCCAAGUCAGGCGUGAAAGCCCCGGGCUCAACCUGGGAACGGCGCUUGAGACGGGCGAACUGGAGAUCGGGAGAGGUGAGUGGAAUUCCCAGUGGAGAGGUGAAAUUCGUAGAGAUUGGGAAGAACACCAGCGGCGAAGGCGGCUCACUGGACCGAGACUGACGCUGAGGCGCGACAGCGUGGGGAGCAAACA
rnacentral:rRNA from 1 species